rnacentral:rRNA from 1 species
UCAAGCUACAAAGGGCUCACGGUGGAUACCUUGGCACACAGAGGCGAUGAAGGACGUGGUUACCUGCGAUAAGUCUCGGGGAGCUGGAAACACGCUUUGAUCCGGGAAUUUCCGAAUGGGGCAACCCCUAGAACGGCCGCCUGAAUCCAUAGGGCGGUGCGAGCCAACCCAGCGAACUGAAACAUCUUAGUAGCUGGAGGAAAGGAAAGUAAAAACGACUCCCUGAGUAGCGGCGAGCGAACGGGGAAGAGCCUAAACCGAUGGUUUCGACCAUCGGGGUUGUGGGACAGCAACGUGUAUCAGGGAGGUUAGAAGAAGCGUUUGAAUGGCGCGCCACAGAGGGUGAAAGCCCCGUAUCCGAAAAUUGAACUGAGCUAGCUGUAUCCCGAGUAGCACGGAGCACGUGAAAUUCCGUGUGAAUCCGCGAGGACCACCUCGUAAGGCUAAGUACUCCUGUGUGACCGAUAGCGCAACAGUACCGCGAGGGAAAGGUGAAAAGAACCCCGGGAGGGGAGUGAAAUAGAACAUGAAACCGUGAGCUUACAAGCAAUGGGAGCCCGACUGAUCGGGUGACCGUGUGCCUGUUGAAGAAUGAGCCGGCGACUUAUAGGCACUGGCAGGUUAAACCGGGAAUGGUGGAGCCAUAGCGAAAGCGAGUCUGAAUAGGGCGAUUGUCAGUGUUUAUAGACCCGAACCCGGGUGAUCUAACCAUGGCCAGGAUGAAGCUUGGGUGAUACCAAGUGGAGGUCCGAACCGACUGAUGUUGAAAAAUCAGCGGAUGAGCUGUGGUUAGGGGUGAAAUGCCAAUCGAACCCGGAGCUAGCUGGUUCUCCCCGAAAUACGUUGAGGCGUAGCGUCUAGUGCUCCAGCAGGGGGGUAAAGCCACCGUUUCGGUGCGGGCUGCGAGAGCGGUACCAAAUCGAGACGAACUCUGAAUACCCUGUGUGUAACUAGGCAGUCAGACUGUGGGGGAUAAGCUCCAUGGUCGAAAGGGAAACAGCCCAGACCGCCAGCUAAGGUCCCCAAAUCAACGCUAAGUGAUAAAGGAGGUGGGAUUGCCCAGACAACCAGGAGGUUUGCCUAGAAGCAGCCAUCCUCAAAGGAGUGCGUAAUAGCUCACUGGUCGAGCGAUCCUGCGCCGAAAAUGAAUGGGGCUAAGUGUUGUACCGAAGCUGCGGAUUUAUGGUAGGGGAGCGUUCUAUGUGGGGCGAAGCGUUAGCGUGAGCGGGCGUGGACUGCAUAGAAGUGAGAAUGUCGGCUUGAGUAGCGAAAACAUGGGUGAGAAUCCCAUGCACCGAAACCCUAAGGGUUCCUCCGGCAGGCUCGUCCGCGGAGGGUUAGUCAGGACCUAAGGCGAGGCCGAAAGGCGUAGUCGAUGGACAACAGGUCAACAUUCCUGUACCGAUGAUGUUUUGGGAAGGGGGACGGAGAAGGCUAGCCAAGCCAGAUGUUGGUUACUGGUCCAAGCGUUCGAGGCGUUGAGAACCGGCGAAAACGGUUUGAGCUGAGGCGUGAGUGCGAGCUGCUACGGCAGCGAAGUUGGUGACGUCAAGCUUCCAAGAAAAGCCCUAUACCCGUUAAGGCAUCAUUGCCUGUACCCGAAACCGACACAGGUGGGGUGGUAGAGAAUACCGAGGGGCGCGAGGUAACUCUCUCUAAGGAACUCGGCAAAAUGGCCCCGUAACUUCGGGAGAAGGGGUGCCACCGCAAGGUGGUCGCAGUGAAGAGGCCCAGGCGACUGUUUACCAAAAACACAGGUCUCCGCUAAGUCGCAAGACGAUGUAUGGGGGCUGACGCCUGCCCAGUGCCGGAAGGUUAAGGAAGCCGGUCAGCGUAAGCGAAGCUGGCGACUGAAGCCCCGGUGAACGGCGGCCGUAACUAUAACGGUCCUAAGGUAGCGAAAUUCCUUGUCGGGUAAGUUCCGAC